UGCAAGUCGAACGAGAUCCACGGUGUAGCAAUACACUUGAAGAUCUAGUGGCGAACGGGUGCGUAACACGUGAGGAACUUGUCCCGGUCUCUGGGAUAACAGUUGGAAACGACUGCUAAUACCGGAUGACGUCGGAGCAUCGCAUGGUGCGCUGACGAAAGGGUUACUGGAUCGGGAGAGCCUCGCGGCCUAUCAGCUUGUUGGUGGGGUAACGGCCCACCAAGGCAUCGACGGGUAGCUGGUCUGAGAGGAUGAUCAGCCACACUGGGACUGAGACACGGCCCAGACUCCUACGGGAGGCAGCAGUGGGGAAUCUUGCGCAAUGGGCGAAAGCCUGACGCAGCAACGCCGCGUGCGGGAUGAAGGCUCUCGGGUUGUAAACCGCUUUCAGCAGGAACGAAAAUGACGGUACUUGCAGAAGAAGGUGCGGCCAACUAUGUGCCAGCAGCCGCGGUGAUACAUAGGCACCAAGCGUUGUCCGGAUUUAUUGGGCGUAAAGAGCUCGUAGGUGGUUCGGUAAGUCGGGUGUGAAAACUUUGGGCUCAACCCAAAGCCUGCAUCCGAUACUGCUGUGACUAGAGUUCGGUAGGGGAGCGGGGAAUUCCUAGUGUAGCGGUGAAAUGCGCAGAUAUUAGGAGGAACACCGGUGGCGAAGGCGCCGCUCUGGGCCGAUACUGACACUGAGGAGCGAAAGCGUGGGUAGCAAACAGGAUUAGAUACCCUGGUAGUCCACGCCGUAAACGUUGGGCACUAGGUGUGGGUUCCAACCAACGGAAUCCGCGCCGUCGCUAACGCAUUAAGUGCCCCGCCUGGGGAGUACGAUCGCAAGAUUAAAACUCAAAGGAAUUGACGGGGGCCGCACAAGCAGCGGAGCGUGUUGCUUAUUUCGAUGCAACGCGAAGAACCUUACCUGGGCUUGACAUGUACGG
rnacentral:rRNA from 1 species